rnacentral:rRNA from 1 species
CCCUUAGAUGUUCUGGGCCGCACGCGCGCUACACUGAUGCAUUCAACGAGUCUAAAACCUGCUCUGAUAGGGGUGGGUAAUCUUUUGAAUGUGCAUCGUGAUUGGGAUAGAUGAUUGCAAUUUUUCAUCUUCAACGAGGAAUGCCUAGUAAACGCAAGUCAUCAGCUUGCAUUGAUUACGUCCCUGCCCUUUGUACACACCGCCCGUCGCUCCUACCGAUUGAGUGAGCCGAUGAAACUGCCGGAUGUGGACUAUUCAUAGUCUGCAGAAGAUAUUUGAAUCGUAGCGCUUAGAGGAAGGAGAAGUCGUAACA